CUGCUCCCAUCUAGUUGAUGGAGUGAUAGGUGAGUAUAAAGAAGGGUGGAGAAUUGUUUUUCCUUCUUUCUUUUAUAUACCACACUAAUAUUUAGUGAAGGAGGUAAAUUUUUUGAGUGUUUGUUGAAUUCAAAGUCCAGGACCAAUUUUGUCUUCGCUUUUUUCACUCUUCUAUGCAGUUCUGCAUGUUUUGAUUUUACGGUCUUGAACCUUACCAGUCUGUUUGUUCACCUUCUUGUUGAUUUGUCAUCCUAUUGGUCUUUCUAAUAAAAUGCCAAAAUUGUCUAAAAUAUAUAUAGCUGCAAAUUAUUAUGAUAAGAAAUUAAUACCUGUAAAUAUUUAAUUGGUAAAGUAAAAAAAAUAUCUAUAUAGCCCGUAUGAUUUUUUGGUGAUCCAGAACACCGUGGAGCAGAUAGCAAGCUUUCUCUAGAAUUUUUCUUCAUUUCUUUGCAUGUGAUGUUGGAUAGUAUCAAUGCAACACAUUUUACAGCACCGUCAAUUCUUCUAACCUUUUUCAUAUUUUUUGACCUGUUGAUGUCAAAGGAACCAGGGGGACACCAAAUGGUAGUAAGAUGACUGCAGUUCCAAAUAAUGACUAUGAGAGUGGUUUUUAAAAAGGAAGAAGAUAAUAAAAGAGGUUUAGAAAGAUGAGAUUGCAAAUGCAAGAUUGCUCAUUACUUCUGUCCUUUCUUUCUUUUCAGUCACUAUGCGUUUUUUACUUAAGAAGUCUUUUUCAUCUUCCUUUUGUGCUUAUGAUAGAGCUUGCAAAGCUCUGUUAGACCAUAGAGCAGAGAUCUUAUCAUGGGGUAUCAGGUCAGAUAGAGAUGCGAACAAAAGCUUGCCGGCUAGUUUAGGGAUUUCUAAUUUCAUCAGGUUGCCCAAUUGUUAAUCCAAUUAAUUUGUUGAUGAGGAACAUAAUUUUGCAUGUAUCUGAGGAUUCAUAUGUAUUGUUCCAUUAGUGACUUCCUGAUGUGUAGAAUUCUUUAUAGUGACACAACGAACAGAUCUUUUCUUUCUUUGACUUGCUUCUUUUAAAUAAUGUUAUGUCUUAUCAGUUACUGGCAUUCAUAUUCUUUAAUUGGUAUCAAAGUCGCAUUGGCAGAUAAUAGAUAAUUUAAGGGUGAAAGGAGGUUUCCUAGUUCUUUCACCAUGAGCUAGCCUAGGCAACUUGGGUGAUGUUAUGCAAUAGUUGGACUUGAUAUGAAAUAAAGUAAACAUUAUGUGGUAAUGAAAGUAUUCAGUUACCCAAAAACAAAAAAAGUAAACCUGUUAUGUUGGAGGAUUGUUAGGUAUAUCUUGUGCAGAUAUCUGACAAGUCUGUGACAAUUUUUUGUUGAAUUGGGAAUAAAUGUUUUAAUCUUCCAACUCAAACAAAUGUUAUUAUUAAAGCUCUUGGAAUUAGAUAUAUAUAGUUCAUUGUGGCACUCAUAGCCUCUCUACUCCUCCGGAGUAGGGGUAAGGUAUGUGUACACACUACACUCCCCAGACCCCAAUUGUGGGAUUCCACUGGGUUGUUAUUGUUGUUAUUGUUGUAUUGUGGCACUCAUACACCUAAUCAUUUGACUGUAUAUACAAAUGGUAAUUAUAGGAGGAACUCUACUAUGUUUAUCUUUUCUUUGACCAAAAUGGAAAAAGAAAAUGCAUGUUGCCAUUGACUCCCUUGUUGUGUGUGAGAAGGAGAUCAAAUCAUUUAUAUUUUGCCGAGAACAUGCAAAUUAACUUGUUUGCAACUGUUUCUAUGCAUGAAGUUGGCCUUAGUUGCUCAUGUGGUAGUUCUCUUUUUUGUUUGGGAAGGCAAGCUUGGCCCAAAGGAUGGAGGGAGUGGGAUUUGAUAUCAAGACCUAUAGGUGUUUUUCUUUUUGAUAACCGUGGUGUCUGGGCCAGCUUGCGCGCACCUCGACUAAUUCUACCGGAUACCUGCUACCUCCCACCGGCAACAGGUACCAAGUAACUCUGUCUACCAAAGCUUGGACAGAUGGGAAAUCACCUUGUAGACUAGUAGUUUUGCCUCCGCCGGGAUUCAAACCUGAGACCUCAUGGUUCUCAAUUCACUUCAUUGACCACUAGGCCACACCCUUAUGUGCUAUCAAGACCUAUGGGUUUAAUUUGAUUAUCUAGCCAACUUCGCAGGGUCUAGGAAAAAAAGUUGUGCAGUGCAGGAGUUUGUAAGUCAACGUGGCAGCAAAUUUUCCUUGGUUUCUAGAGCUCUAUCUAUGGGAAACGAGACUGGUAGUAUCUUUAGUUCAACAUUUCUUAGCUUAUUUUGGCAUUAGGUGAGGAAUGAACCAACGAGUGGUAGUUGGUAGUCUAGCAGUUCCUUGAAAAAAACUUUGACUUGUCCUCGCUGUUAUAAACUUAGGGAUCUCUCACUUCCCUCUCCCCUUUAGUUGUACUUGCACAAACAAAACACACACACUAGAAGUCCAUGAGAAGCAUACCUCUAUGAUCAAAGUUAAGAAAGACACUAGAUUGGGAUGGUUUAUAUUAGAUGCUAAAAGAUCAGAUUAUGCUUUCACAGAUAUUCGUUCCAAAGUUUCUCUUGAACUUCCCUCUUUCAUACUCCAGGAAUGGUUGGUGCAAGUUACGGUGUUUAGACAUGGUCUUGCUUCUCUAAUAUGUUGAGAUUGAGUGGAACCUUGAGACUAGUAGCUACAUGAAAAGAAUAUAAGUUUCCUCUGAAUAUGGGGAACAUGUCUUAGACUUAAGAUAAAGCACAAAUGAUGAUAUGCUGUUUCUUUAAAAAGCGUGCUAAGUAAUGGCUUCUGAGGAUGUACAUUGAUCGAAUAUAAUAACUAAGGGGUGAAUUAUUGCGAGAGCAUGAUCAAACUCAAUCCCUUCCACAAACAAAAGCGUGGUAUUUAAGUGGGGACGGUAGAGGAGCGGCCCAUUAUCACCCAAGUUUCAUACCGUGCACUUCUGGUGAUUAUAAAAAAAGGAUCAAAUUCAAACCCCCUCUCACCGAGAAAAAAAAUGCAGAAGCUGGGUGUUCUUUAAUUGUUACAUGGUGGGAGCUGCUCAGUCUUCACAAGGGACACAUAAAGGACAGUUGAAUUUCAUCUUCCAAUAAAACAAGCAUCUUUGUAUUCAAGUCAAAUGAAGACAGAAAGGUGCUUCAAUGUGCAGAAACCUAUCUCUCAGGUAUUCACCUACAGCUUUGGUCAACUACUGUAAUGGUGAAAAGAUAUUCUAGACCAUUAUUUGUUUUUUGAGCUGGUUAUGAUCACUUAAAUGUGCACUUAAUCUCCACCAGAAAGAUUUAGCCUCCUGAAAGUAACUUAGCAAAAAGUCAAUGUUAGAAAUGACCAAUACAAACAUGGCAUGCUCUACUAAUAAUUGGGCCAGUUAUGUCCAGAAUUUCAUCUACUUGUAGUUUUUGCUUUACAUUAACAAGGCACAGACCAGUAAACCUAUCCCUGAAUUAUAGCUUUACUUGCUAUAAAAAUUUUCAUGCUUUCUGAUAAAUUGUUCUGUCUGAUACAUUAAAUUGCUCCUUUUUAUUGAUUCUAGUGACUACGGCAUCUUAAAAUGACCCUGAGAUAAUGUAACUCGAUAGUAUUUGUCUCCUAUCUCUGUGUAUUAUCGUUUUGGUAUGUCACUAAAGGAUUUCUAGUCUGUGUAGAGAAAAAAGCCUAGAGGCAGUCUUUCUAUGAGAACCAUCAACUAUUUGAAAUCAGUGCCUUGUUUCUCAUAUUUUACAUCAAAAUGUAUUCCUCCAAUUCCCAAACUUCAGUAUCCUAAUUCCUUCCUUUCAUAGGCGACAAACUAGGAGAAUGAUAUAGUGAAACAUGAAAGAUUUAAAAUAGUAGAGGUAAGGCUUACUUUACUGAAUGGAGACUCAUAGUGAGAUAAUGAGGCAUUAAACUAACUACAGGAUUCCAAAGAGACUCACAUUUUAAGCAGCUUUAUAUGGUACUAGCAUCUGUCGCGUAUCGCUCCAUGUGGAUAUGGCUUUUUUGUCCCCGUGUUUGAUCUUCAAUUGUCAAUUUUACUUGAGCAUAGUGAACUCUAGAUAAAACUCACUGUGCAUCAUGCGGUUGAAAGAAACAACAUAAUAAAGUGUGCAGGAGAAAUCUAAUACUCAGCCAUAAUUAUCUAUUUGACCAAUGAUGUGAAAAGUUUUGUCAUUCUUUCAUUUUUGAAAGAGCAUUAUUUUUUGGAAAAGCAUUUUUUGAAAGAGCAUUUUAUCUUCCAUAGCUUUCCUUAUCGUUAAUGCAGUGUGUCAAUGCCUGAUUUUCGUCUAAAGCAAUUAGAGAAAUAUUAUCACAAGGGCAAAACUACAAAAAAAGGUUAUAUGUCUAUACUUAUAAACACUUUCUAAAAUGAAGCAUGUAAUAACAUCUAAAGCUCUGUAGUGAACUAUAAAGUUGGGGCAGCUGCGAGGAAGACUGACCCAAUUGUCAGUCAACCAGUGAAACUGGCAUAACCAGCUUUUAACUUGCACCUGGUUGUUCUUAUGCCGGAUCUGGUUGUUCAGGUUUGAUCUUCUUUCGUGCAUCAAACCUUUGCGUGUCUUGUGUGUUUACGUGUUUUAAACUGCCCUUCAAACUCAUGUAAAAUUGCACUUGUAGUUAGAGGUUCCAAUCUGAAAUAAGCUAUGGAUUAAUCUCACCUUUUGGAGCAUCUGAGUUUUGUAUAUCCUGUAUUUUGCUAUGUUCUUUCGCAUGGUUUUCAGUGACCUAACACUUUUGGCUCAUUCUUUUAGAUGUCUAUUAUCUGCAGGCACAGAAACCUAUUUUUUCAGUCAUUUGCUUUGUUAAUACAUUAAGACCUUUUCCAAAUUGACACAGAAGUGUAUCGUCCUAUAGUAACUAUUGACUCUUUUUAGAAAACAUUCAUUGAUUUAUUAAGGCAUAUAGUCAAGUUUUAGAUGCUAAUUCCUCUUGGGCUUCCAUUACUUUGGAGAAAAUGAUACUCAUACCAGAGCAGUGAGGCUCCCAAGUACACGAUUGGUUAGGUGUGUCCUUGUCACUGUGGAAAACUGGUACUUUCUGUAGUUGAUCAAGAAAUGUAUCAGGUGGAGGGCUUGGGCUUCCAUUCCACUGCAAAGAAGUGUAUCAAAUGGAUUUUAAUUGUUUUACAGUUUAACUAGGACAUCGUUUAAGUACAGUUUGCAUCAUUGUCUGUUAUUUUUUCAUUACUUCAAAUGCUGAAUUUUACUUGGACUUCCAUUCCUCUGCAAAGAAAUGUAUCAAGUGAAGUUUAGUGUUUUAGACCUACAUUUCGUCCAGGUUUUACUUAUCAUCUAUUCUCUUAUUUUUCGUAAGUUCAGAUGCUAAAUUUCCCUUGGUCGUCCAUUCCUCUGCAAAGAAGUGUAAGUUGUCUAGACUUCAUUCCAUCUUUGUUCAAGUUAUCCUUUUCACCAUUUUCUUUUACUUUUUUUCAUUGCCUGUCUUUGUUUUUGGUGUUUUUAUCUGUGAAUCAGGAUUGUCUUUUAAAGCUACUAGUUGAUUGGAGUUUCCCACACUAGCUUUGUUUUCCCUUUUAUUUAUUUUUAUUAUUGUCUGUGUGUGUUGUGGUGUUUAUAAACUUAACUUGAUCCUGUACUCAUGAGGGGGAAAAUAACGCCGUAUACCCUCCUUAACUAUGCCUCAACUAUGAAAAUUACACUGCAUACCUGUAAAUAAAUUACAUAGCAUAUCUUGAUAGACAA